GAUGAACGCUGGCGGCGUGCCUAAUACAUGCAAGUCGAGCGAACGGACGAGAAGCUUGCUUCUCUGAUGUUAGCGGCGGACGGGUGAGUAACACGUGGAUAACCUACCUAUAAGACUGGGAUAACUUCGGGAAACCGGAGCUAAUACCGGAUAAUAUUUUGAACCGCAUGGUUCAAAAGUGAAAGACGGUCUUGCUGUCACUUAUAGAUGGAUCCGCGCUGCAUUAGCUAGUUGGUAAGGUAACGGCUUACCAAGGCAACGAUGCAUAGCCGACCUGAGAGGGUGAUCGGCCACACUGGAACUGAGACACGGUCCAGACUCCUACGGGAGGCAGCAGUAGGAAAUCUUCCGCAAUGGGCGAAAGCCUGACGGAGCAACGCCGCGUGAGUGAUGAAGGUCUUCGGAUCGUAAAACUCUGUUAUUAGGGAAGAACAUAUGUGUAAGUAACUGUGCACAUCUUGACGGUACCUAAUCAGAAAGCCACGGCUAACUACGUGCCAGCAGCCGCGGUAAUACGUAGGUGGCAAGCGUUAUCCGGAAUUAUUGGGCGUAAAGCGCGCGUAGGCGGUUUUUUAAGUCUGAUGUGAAAGCCCACGGCUCAACCGUGGAGGGUCAUUGGAAACUGGAAAACUUGAGUGCAGAAGAGGAAAGUGGAAUUCCAUGUGUAGCGGUGAAAUGCGCAGAGAUAUGGAGGAACACCAGUGGCGAAGGCGACUUUCUGGUCUGUAACUGACGCCGAUGUGCGAAAGCGUGGGGAUCAAACAGGAUUAGAUACCCUGGUAGUCCACGCCGUAAACGAUGAGUGCUAAGUGUUAGGGGGUUUCCGCCCCUUAGUGCUGCAGCUAACGCAUUAAGCACUCCGCCUGGGGAGUACGACCGCAAGGUUGAAACUCAAAGGAAUUGACGGGGACCCGCACAAGCGGUGGAGCAUGUGGUUUAAUUCGAAGCAACGCGAAGAACCUUACCAAAUCUUGACAUCCUUUGACAACUCUAGAGAUAGAGCCUUCCCCUUCGGGGGACAAAGUGACAGGUGGUGCAUGGUUGUCGUCAGCUCGUGUCGUGAGAUGUUGGGUUAAGUCCCGCAACGAGCGCAACCCUUAAGCUUAGUUGCCAACAUUAAGUUGGGCACUCUAAGUUGACUGCCGGUGACAAACCGGAGGAAGGCGGGGAUGACGUCAAAUCAUCAUGCCCCUUAUGAUUUGGGCUACACACGUGCUACAAUGGACAAUACAAAGGGCAGCGAAACCGCGAGGUCAAGCAAAUCCCAUAAAGUUGUUCUCAGUUCGGAUUGUAGUCUGCAACUCGACUACAUGAAGCUGGAAUCGCUAGUAAUCGUAGAUCAGCAUGCUACGGUGAAUACGUUCCCGGGUCU
rnacentral:rRNA from 1 species